ACUGCGGUAGCCCAGUUUGAAAUGGCGUCUAUAGAUGCCGAAGGCCGCAGGUUUAAAUCCUGCCUGCAGUG